AUGUCGUGAUGUGGGCACUUAACCAGCAUCCCUUUGAACCUCUCCCACGUUUCUUGUAGUGUUUCAACUGGUUUCUGCCUAGAGCUCAAUGUCUCAUCAACUUGUUU
rfam:Nicotiana sylvestris Nsyl_contig109377, whole genome shotgun sequence.